rnacentral:rRNA from 1 species
AUUGAACGCUAGCGGGAUGCUUUACACAUGCAAGUCGAACGGCAGCGCGGACUUCGGUCUGGCGGCGAGUGGCGAACGGGUGAGUAAUGUAUCGGAACGUGCCCAGUAGCGGGGGAUAACUACGCGAAAGCGUAGCUAAUACCGCAUACGCCCUACGGGGGAAAGCAGGGGAUCGUAAGACCUUGCACUAUUGGAGCGGCCGAUAUCGGAUUAGCUAGUUGGUGAGGUAACGGCUCACCAAGCCGACGAUCCGUAGCUGGUUUGAGAGGACGACCAGCCACACUGGGACUGAGACACGGCCCAGACUCCUACGGGAGGCAGCAGUGGGGAAUUUUGGACAAUGGGGGCAACCCUGAUCCAGCCAUCCCGCGUGUGCGAUGAAGGCCUUCGGGUUGUAAAGCACUUUUGGCAGGAAAGAAACGUCGCGGGCUAAUACCCCGUGGAACUGACGGUACCUGCAGAAUAAGCACCGGCUAACUACGUG